UAAACAUUGAGGCUUUGUUUUUUUUGAGAGG
rnacentral:piRNA from 1 species